rnacentral:lncRNA from 1 species
UUUCAGCCUACUUUUCUUCGGUUUUGGUCUAUUUUCAGGCAUGCUUUCCUGAUAGCAUCAAGAUAAUUGUCAACCACUCCAGUGACCUCAACAAUGCCAGCAGAAAUCUACAGACGCUUUCUUUCUGAUGAUUAAAAAAAUAAAAGGAGACGAUCUACAGGAACUGGUGUUAGAGAGCACUGAAGAGCACACCCAGGCUAGAGGCCAGGCUCUUCUCUUGUUGGCUGCACCUGAGGACUCCCCACCAGUACAGUUUCAACCAGCUCUAAAUUCCUCGGGUGUUGAAGAUUUCAUUGUGGAUAAAGUGCCUUUGAACAUAUCAGCUCAUAAACACCUCGUUUCUGUUCUGGCUCAAGAUGAAACAGUGGUUAUCCACAGGAAUAACUAGCUAAUUAGCAGCAUAUGUUCUCCCACUUAUCCCCGAGGCUUAUUUUAAAUAAUAUCUCCCUUCUCAAUUAUUUUUCUUAGGUAUUUUAAUAUUUCAAAUAUCACACUUGAUAUGAAGUAACUAAACUUGCCAAAUAUAUUAAUUGAACAUCUGACAUUCUCAACCUUGCCCCACCUUCUGCUAACCUCAUCCGUCCAUAACUUGAACCUUUGGUUAGUUUUUCUUCCUAGUCCACAGAUGCACAAUCACAUGCACACACAUACACACACACACACACACACACACACACACACACACUCAUAGUCCUCACAGGUAUAGUCCAAAAACUUGCUUACUUGGAGCUAUCUUUUGGGAAAUGUGGAGCUAGACUCGGUAGGAAGGGGGCUGUGAUCGAUUUGUGAUGUCUGCCAUGAGCACAGGAAGAGAACAUGGUAUGUAUUCUAUAGUCCCAGACGCAUCCUAAAGUCAAUCCUGACCAAACUCUAAAGAGACUCUAGGAGUUUCAUUCAGGUGAACUCAGUGUUCAGUUUCUUUUCCAGGCAAGCAGGAGGCCAGGCCACAGGCUACUCCCAGCCUGGGGGAAUCACCAGGGCCUGAGGUAGGUACAGGGCACAAGUGGAGUCAGAACAAUCAAGGGCUGCAAAGCAUACAGUUAAAGUGGGGCAAGACAGGCAAGAUAGUUACUAGCUCAGAGGGAAUAGGCAUGGAGGAAAAUCCAAACUCAGAGAAACAAGAAGGAGCCAGGGAAACCAGACCAAAACAAUAGGGUUCAAAUUGAGGAAUAGGAAAUGGAAUUCCCCGGGCUAUGGAACCACAGACACAGCUGCUUAUGGGGUUUUUAACCAAGUGCACAGGUGGAAAGGAAGCCAUUAAAAGUAAUGCUUAGCUCUUUCACUAAGCAUCAAAGCAUCUUGCUCUUGGACUAGUUCUGAUCUGAGCCCUGAUGUUAAUGACAAUACCUCGAGCUAUUCCCAAAACCCAAGCCCACUCAUGUGCCUACAUCCUGGGAUUGCUCUUCUCUGCCCUGGGGUAGGGUUCCCUGUUCCUCCCUGCUCUUCCAACUCCUUACCCUUCGUCACUGUGGAAUAGAAAUUCUGUACCUGAAGUUUAUGGUAUACCGGUUAGGCGCCAAUAGGCUUCACUGACAUUCUACAAAUAGUUUCUAGGGCUACUCGGGAUAGAAGAAACCUACUGGCAAGUGGUUGCUAUCUUCAUAGAACUUUUAAUCUGGUGAGAAAACUGAUGCUCGUGUGAAAACCAAACAAGUGUAAAAUUAUAACUGUGGUAAACAAAAGGAAAGUAUAUUCCUUUAUUAGAGGUAUCUGACAGGUCAGGGAAGCCCUGCUCAAGGAAACGAAACAAAACAAAACUAACCAUCAAUUCGCCCACCUAUUCACCUGACUGUUCAGCAGGUAAUAAAUAGUAAGUGUGAGGCUUCCCGUGCUAGAUG